CCCGCUACGCUUUUUUUUUCACCCUUCCUCUAUUAAAACCUAAAACCACCGGCCGCCAACGCCCCUUCCAAUCACCGCCGCCGCCGCCGCCGCCGCCGCCUCCUCCACCCGCUCCUCCGCCUGAACCCUAGCCAUGGCGUGGCGCGGCGCUGCGUCCCGCACCGUCCUCGCCGCGGUCCGCCGCCCGGCACCCUCCGCCGCGCUCGGCGGCCUCCGCGCCCCUCCUCCCUUCGCGGCCCCGCGCCGCCGGAUCCCUUCCCCCUUCGCCCCCUCCCACUCCACCUCCCCGCUCGGGGCCGCACGGCCCCUGGCGGCCAUGAUGGGGUCGCCGCUGACGGCGGCGGUGGUGCUAGGGCGGAUGACGGCGCACCCGUCUGCCAGCGCCCGGGCCUGCUGCGAGCUCUCCCAGGGAAAUGGGGACGAUGGUUGAUGUUGGAGGCUGGCCAGCAUGACGGGGACUUUAUCUCCUAGAAUGAUGUAGGUCCCCUCCUCUUCCCAGUUCUGUAUUUCUUUUGCGACUAGUAAUUUAACAAACUGCAAGAUAGUAAUUGCAUUGAAAAAGUAAAAAAGCAAGAACAUAGGUAACUGUUGAGUGUUGGCUUUGUAGAAUCGUAUUACACUGUUGUGUCUCAAAUGUUCAAAAUGUCUUCUCCUUUUUAGCCCAUUUAUCUCUUCCCAGUUAGCCCUUUGUUGCUAUACCUUCUCUUCCUAAUGCUAAGAGCACACAUGCUUCACUGUUAGUAAGUUUUUACAAAUUUGAAUAGCUAUAUUGUGCACUUCAAUAUUGAAACUUCAAUUGAUUGAGGAUAUGUAUGGUUGGGCUUUCUUAGGGAAUGGAAAAGAUGGGUGAUGCGGGAGAGGCAAGGGUAGAGCAUAGCUAAGGUACUUGAAUUUGCCAUGUUGAUUCACCAUCCUUUUUAAAGAGGAUACAAAUCUUGGAUUCGUCUUUUGGAAAGCUAUUCUGGGGCCGUCCUUUUAAUCCUUGAGUUAUUAGAAGCAUGUCUCCAACAAAAUAGCUUCUCUCCAAAUUACUAGCCUAGACUGAAAAUAAUCUUCCUGUCAUGUGACAUGGUUUAUGUCAUGGAUUUAGCUUCUACUUUUGUAGCGAAAUACCUUUGUGUUGCCUGCUAAGAGGAUUUGGUGGCACAUUUUAUAUGAUUUCUUAGAUUGGAAGGUAUCUCUGUUCCACGAGCAACAACUGUGGUCACACUGUCAUUUUAGUUUCCAGUUGAGCAAUGAUGCUUGAGAUGUGUGUGUCUGAUUUCCAA